rnacentral:rRNA from 1 species
GACGAACGCUGGCGGCGUGCUUAACACAUGCAAGUCGAACGAAGUGGCGAACGGGUGAGUAACGCGUAAUCAACCUGCCCUUCAGAGGGGGACAACAGUUGGAAACGUAUGCUAAUACCGCAUACUGAAGGAGGGGUUUGCGUCUGAUUCGCUCGUUGGAGGGGUAACGGCCCACCAAGGCGAUGAUCAGUAGCCGGGCUGGGAGGAUGAACGGGCACAUUGGGACUGAGACACGGCCCAGACUCCUACGGGAGGGAGCAGGGGGGAAUCUUCCGAAAUGGAGGAAAGUCUGACGGAGCAACGCCGCGGGAGUGAUGACGGCCUUCGGGGUGUAAAGCUAUGUUAAUCGGGACGCGGUACCGGAAUAGAAAGCCACGGCUAACUACGUGCCAGCAGCCGCGGUAAUUC